rnacentral:siRNA from 1 species
UCACCGGUGUGAUGAUCCUACGUC